rnacentral:rRNA from 1 species
GAUGAACGCUGGCGGCGUGCCUAAUACAUGCAAGUCGAGCGAACAGACGAGGAGCUUGCUCCUCUGACGUUAGCGGCGGACGGGUGAGUAACACGUGGAUAACCUACCUAUAAGACGGGGAUAACUUCGGGAAACCGGAGCUAAUACCGGAGAAUAUAUUGAACCGCAUGGUUCAAUAGUGAAAGACGGUUUUGCUGGCACUUAUAGAUGGAUCCGCGCCGCAUUAGCUAGUUGGUCAGGUAACGGCUUACCAAGGCGACGAUGCGUAGCCGACCUGAGAGGGUGAUCGGCCACACUGGAGCUGAGACACGGUCCAGACUCCUACGGGAGGCAGCAGUAGGGAAUCUUCCGCAAAGGGCGAAAGCCUGACGGAGCAACGCCGCGUGAGUGAUGAAGGUCUUCGGAUCGUAAAGCUCUGUUAUUAGGGAAGAACAACUGUGUAAGUAACUAUGCACGUCUUGACGGUACCUAAUCAGAAAGCCACGGCUAACUACGUG